GGCCGAAAGGCUGACCCAGCGACGCCGCGUGCGGGAGGACGCCUUCGGGGUGUAAACCGCUGUCAGAGGGGAAGAAACGCGAGGGCAGGAAUAUGGCUUUCGUUUGACGGUACCCUCAAAGGAAGCGCCGGCUAACUCUGUGCCAGCAGCCGCGGUAAUACAGAGGGCGCGAGCGUUGUUCGGAAUCACUGGGCGUAAAGCGCGCGCAGGCGGGACGACAAGUCUGGAGUGAAAUUCCGGGGCUCAACUCCGGGACUGCUUUGGAAACUGUCGACCUGGGGACCGGUAGAGGCCGGUGGAAUUCCCGGUGUAGCGGUGGAAUGCGUAGAGAUCGGGAAGAACACCCGUGGCGAAGGCGGCCGGCUGGGCCGGAUCCGACGCUGAGGCGCGAAAGCGUGGGGAGCAAACAGGAUUAGAUACCCUGGUAGUCCACGCCGUAAACGAUGGGCACUAGGUGCUGGGGGGAGCGACCCCUUCGGUGCCGCAGCUAACGCGUUAAGUGCCCCGCCUGGGGAGUACGGCCGCAAGGCUG
rnacentral:rRNA from 1 species